CUUCCUGUGUGUCCUCAGGUCACCGCUUGCUCUAGUUCCCAGGCUUUGGCCCCCAGUGGACGAGAAUCGCUGAGCCUGCGGGGCUGGACGCUGAGCGCCUAGGCCAGCACCUAGGCGGGCGCGGAGCUAUGUGGGCCAGGGUUCGCACGGGCCGGGUGGAGGCUUGAGCGGGGACCCCCGAGCGUGAGCCCCUGAGCCGGCGGCCCUGCGGCCAGGGGAACCGGGCGGGAGGUGGCGAAGGUGGCAGCGGAGGCGGAGGCGAAGGGGCGGCGGGAACCGGGCCUGGCCCGUGUGUGUCCUGGGGGCCUGGCCCAGGCCGCCGCUGUACGGUGAGUCCCAGGGAGGCGGAUCUGGGCCCCGGGAAGGACACCCUCCUGGAUUUGCCCCGUAGGCCCGGCCCGGGCCCCUCAGGAGCAGAACAGCCUUGGUGAGGUGGACAAGAGGGGACCUCGCGAGCAGACGCGCGCCAGCGACAGCAGCCCCGCCCCGGCCUCUGGGGAGCCCCAGGAGGGUCUACCAGCCACAGUCUCUGCACGUUUCCAAGAGCAGCAGAAAAUGAACACAUUGCAGUCGAAUCCAGCGGGCAUUUUCUAGCCCCUACCUCCCAGGACCCUUUGUCUGCCUUUGACAUCUGUUACUUCCAAACUGAUACUUUCUCCAUGGAGUCUCUCUUUUCUUGGCUUUUAAAAAGAUUCGUCUGUCUGCAGACUCGUGAAUGACGUCUACCGCGUGUAUAAUCGACACCAGUAUCCAUUUGUUGUUCUUAACAUUUCUGUUGAUUCAGUAAAACGAUGUUUGCAGAAAUGGAAAUCAUUGGUCAGUUUAACCUGGGAUUUAUAAUAACCAAACUGAAUGAGGAUAUCUUCAUAGUGGACCAGCAUGCCACGGACGAGAAGUAUAACUUCGAGAUGCUGCAGCAGCACACCGUGCUCCAGGGGCAGAGGCUCAUAGCACCUCAGACUCUCAACUUAACUGCUGUUAAUGAAGCUGUUCUGAUAGAAAAUCUGGAAAUAUUUAGAAAGAAUGGCUUCGAUUUUGUUAUCGAUGAAAAUGCUCCAGUCACUGAAAGGGCUAAACUGAUUUCCUUGCCAACUAGUAAAAGCUGGACCUUCGGACCCCAGGACGUCGAUGAACUGAUCUUCAUGCUGAGCGACAGCCCUGGGGUCAUGUGCCGGCCUUCCCGAGUCAAGCAGAUGUUUGCCUCCAGAGCCUGCCGGAAGUCGGUGAUGAUUGGGACUGCUCUUAACACAAGCGAGAUGAAGAAACUGAUCACCCACAUGGGGGAGAUGGACCACCCCUGGAACUGUCCCCAUGGAAGGCCAACCAUGAGACACAUCGCCAACCUGGGUGUCAUUUCUCAGAACUGACCGUAGUCACUGUAUGGAAUAAUUGGUUUUAUCGCAGAUUUUUAUGUUUUGAAAGACAGAGUCUUCACUAACCUUUUUUGUUUUAAAAUGAAACCUGCUACUUAAAAAAAAUACACAUCACACCCAUUUAAAAGUGAUCUUGAGAACCUUUUCAAACCAGAUGGAGCAUUGCUUGCAAAUUUUUUUUCUCUAUGUUUGCAUGCGCUCGUGUGUGUGUGUCCAGGCAAGAACACAUUUUAUAAAAAUAAGAACACUUGGGCUGGGCAUGGUGGCUCAUGCCUGUGAUCGCAGCACUUUGGGAGGCCGAGGCCGGCAGAUCACCUGAGAUCAGAAGUUCGAGACCAGCCUGACCAACAUGGAGAAACCCUGCCUCUACUAAAAAUACAAAAUUAGCCAGGUGUGCUGGCGCAUGCCUGUAAUCCCCGCUACCCAGGAGGCUGAGGCAGGAGAAUCGCUUGAACCCGGGAGACGGAGGUUGCAGUGAACCGAGAUUGCGCCACUGCGCUCCAGCCUGGGUGAGAUAGAGCAAGACUGUGUCUC
rnacentral:lncRNA from 1 species